AGCAAUUGAUUGUUUUUAAUCUGGAUAUAGGUUUGUUAUCCUUUCAGACAAAUAGAGCUGAGCAGUUCGGGCAAAACUUUCGAAAUUAUCCAUAGUAACUACUUGCGGUUUUGAAGAAUUAGGACAAGGGCUCCAAAGCAGCAGCUACAGCAAGCAAGCAAGUUGUUGCAUGCUUAAGCGAGCAUCUUGCCAGCCUGGAGCCCCUUCUGGAUGACACUCCCAGCAGGGAUAGAGAAGACCAGCAAGGAAUGGACAAAUACAUGGAGAUAUUAUUGCUAGAGGAGAGCAACAUAUUUUCCACUGAGCAAGGAUUACACUUCAGCCCUGUCAGAUAUUACAACAGACGAAUCCCCUCGGUGAAGGUGAGAAUAAGGCACGGCGCACCUGAGCUUUUCUUCCACGUGACUUACUCCAGAGCAUCACUUUGAUGGUCCAAACACCUCCUGGGAGCUGUGACCCACCCAGCUUCUCGCCCAGCCUGUGCCCCUCCUCCCUGAGCUCUCCAGGCCGGGAGGAUGUCACGCAGAACGGGGACUAGCACAGGGAGGGAAGUCACGGCCACAGCACUGCCCGGCACCUCGCACCGGGGCCUCGCAGGGCCGGAGACGACGCUCCGGUGCCGUACGGCGACGGAGGACGCGACCGCGAAGGGCCUCCUGAAGGCCCUGAGCACCAGGAUGCUUCCGAGAUGUUUUAUAGAUCCUCCUGUGCCCUCACAGCUGAGAAGCAAAGGUAUCGCGCUUUUCAGAGCAAAAUAAAGCGGCUCCAGAACACUGCUGACUUACGGAGAGAAAGAACAACUGAGCAGCAGAUGAAAAUGCCGGCCAUAUGGCUGUGGCUGAGCUGGCAGACUCCCCAAACCUCGGAUUUGUGAGGGGAGAAGGAGGGGGAGAGGGGAAGGACUCGGCAGGGAAGGAAAUUUAACCUCUAAGUCUCUCUCCCUUUCCCUAAUCGGAGUCAAGCUGCAAGUAUAUUUUGGUGAUGUCAGUACAACAUAUAGAACUAAAAUAGUAAUUUGGUACUUUCAGUGAUUCUGAAUACUUUUGGCACAAAAAGGAAAGGAUACAGCCAACUUUACAACAAAAAUAACUCAUUUUUCUGUCCCAAAAUAACUUCUUUGCUAUCAUUGUUUUUUAAGCCCAAGAUUAUUACAAAUGAACAAUACUUUUCCUUGCUUUUGUCAGUUUUAUUUCUCAUUUGGCACAGUCUUAUACUUAGUCAUCUUAUGGUGUCCUAUGUAUAGCCAGGGAAGGGGUUUUUUUCCCCCUUCAAGCAGCAAGAGGAAAAUCCCACUUGCAGAGGCAGCAACGUGACCGUAAGAGCACAACACCACAAAUCGCGACAAGGGCUCGCACAGUUCUCAAGACCAGGUUUUUCCGUCUGUGUUUUAUUUAUUUCAGCUGGUAACAUUUCAGAGUCAGUAGGGGAAAAUAAUCAAUUUAAUCUCUUAAUCUCUUGAAAAGUAAGAGGAGUUUAAGGCACUUAGCACCUAAGAACACUCUGCAUCCAGUUAACAGGCACGCUGUGCUUCAAGCAAAGCACCGAAGCAAGGGUCUUCUCUAGCCCCCAACCGAUCCUCCUCAGCAGAAGCCCUUCAGGAAAGUCACAGGUCACGACAGCUGCUGAAAGCAAUCUUUCAGUAGAGCUCCCUCCAUUACAAGUAACACUAGCUACAAAACCAUCAAGCCACCCCUAAUCACAAGGGAGCUCCUCCUCGCUCUGCCUUCCCACGUGCAAGUUUAGCCAAGCGAGGCAGGAUUUUUCCAAGGAAGGGUUUCCAGCGUUGGCCCCCAAACAACUGUGCUGGGUUUAAUAUUCUCUUCUGCUUCACCCUGUGAAGGAGCAAAAAGCAAGGGAGGAGCCCCGAUACCCUGGAGAAGCAUUUAUCCUUGCAGACUCUCUUAAAAGUUUGCAGUCUCUCCCUCGAGGGACAGGCACGAGAUGAGAAGGGGAGCGGGGGGAUUCUGCUUUUCAUUAGGAAAGUGAAAGGAAGCUGAAAUCUGCGUUCAUCAACCUGUUCAGCUGCUCUCAGGUUCGAUUUAUCAAGCUGUCUUCCACCGAUCACAAGCCAAGAAAACCCACAACUGAGUUAACGCUCCAAGCCAGGUCUAACCCCACCCAGCAAGAAACCGGCUCCGUCGGGGUUUGCCACUGCCCGGCUCCCGCAUCGCCUCUUCCCUCGCCCCGAGCGCGCGGCAGCGCAAGGGACGCACGUCCUCCUCCCCAGCCGCACGAGACCGCAGCGGGGAACCGCGGAAGAGCUCACGCAGCUUGGGAGCGCGAGGUCUCUGCCAAAGCUCGCCUCGCCGCGGGCUCCCCGCGUCCUCGCCGCGGCAUCGGGAAGCGCGGGAGCAGACGGCCCGAGCGAGCUCCGGCUAGCGUCAAAGACCGAAUGGCUGACAGGGACAACCUCCGGCAGAGCUGCAGCCAGAGGCCCUCUCCUCCUCCUCCUCUCUCGGAUAAUCUGCGGGAAACGACCAGUUGAAUCGCCCUGAGUCUUGUCUCCCUUCUGGCCCGUUACUCACAUCCCAGAGAAAAUCCCGGGCACGUGCCCUGCAUGCCACACGUGGGAAUUAUUUAAGGGACUGGAUUAAACUAAAAUUUGUUCAGAUCUAAAAGAAUUCCAACAGGGAAGACUCAGAUCACAGAAAGCCUUGACACUGUGGGAUAUAAAAGUGAGUCAACAAGUCUCGAGUAAACAUGUGGCUAAAAUCCUGCUCGUUGCAACACAUUACGGCCAGAUCACAAAUUCACAACUCACUACGAGUCGUAUCGACGCAAGAGGCACUUGUACGUCCCACAGCCAUUGUAACGUGUAUAAUGCAGCAGGGAGAUGAAAAGGAGCGUGUGUAUUUGUAAAACAAGCAAUCCAUUCGAACUAAAACAGCACGCUCACCAGCUAGACCAACGUUAAUGCUGGCAUUCACUAUUAUCCAUUUACAAUUCUGUUUACUUGAAUGACUGUCUGAAAAAAUUUGCACUCCAAUUCGCAUAUUAAAUCACUACAAAUAGAUAACGGUGAACUGAUCUACUGAUAAACCGGCUAUAAAAAGCUCAAAGGACAUCCAAAAAUCUCCAAAUGGAAGUCAUUGAAAUGGUACUUACCAAAGAUUGAGUGCCUAGCUUGUGCUGCUACCACAAUAAAGUGAUACCAAGGG